rnacentral:miRNA from 1 species
CAAACUUGAUGUUGUUUAUGACGUCGAUAUCGACGUUAUAAACACCAAACUUGAUGGUGUUUAUGACGUCGAAUAUCGACGUCAUAAACACCAAAC